rnacentral:rRNA from 1 species
CAGUAGCCGCGGUAAUACGGAGGGCGCGAGCGUUACCCGGAUUUACUGGGCGUAAAGGGCGUGUAGGCGGCCUGGGGCGUCCCAUGUGAAAGGCCACGGCUCAACCGUGGAGGAGCGUGGGAUACGCUCAGGCUAGAGGGUGGGAGAGGGUGGUGGAAUUCCCGGAGUAGCGGUGAAAUGCGCAGAUACCGGGAGGAACGCCGAUGGCGAAGGCAGCCACCUGGUCCACUUCUGACGCUGAGGCGCGAAAGCGUGGGGAGCAAACCGGAUUAGAUACCCCCGUAGUCCCUGUCUCUUAUAC